rnacentral:rRNA from 1 species
AUCGUAGACGAUGGGGAAUAUUCCUGAUCCAGGCCAAACCGCGAUCCAACAAUGGCGUGAGGGGUAAAAAGCCCUUUGAGUUGGGAAGCACGGUCAGUGGGUAAGAUUCUGUAGGUACGUCCAAAAGAAGCACUGAAGUAACUCCUUGCCAGCAGCCGGCGUAAUACGGAGGGUGGAAGGGGUAAUCGGAAAUAUGAGUUGUAAAGCGUAAAUCGCUGGUUGGGUAAUUGGGAUGUUAAAUGCCCGGCCCCGGGCUCGAAUUGCAUUCGAAUUCCCUCACUCGAGUCUAGCAGAGGGAUGGGGAAUUCCGGUUUUAGGGGUGAAAAUGAUAGAGAUCCGGAUGAACAUCAGCGGGGAAGGGGCCAUUGUGGGUUAAGACUGACGCUGAGGUAGGAAAGGGUGGGGAGCAAACCGGAUUAGAUACCAUGGUUGUUCAGUCCGUA